AGUUUGAUCCUGGCUCAGGAUGAACGCUAGCGGCAGGCUUAACACAUGCAAGUCGAGGGGCAGCGGGUAAGUAGCAAUACUUAUGCCGGCGACCGGCGGAAGGGUGCGUAACGCGUGAGCAACAUACCUAUAACAGGAGGAUAAUCCAGGGAAACUUGGUCUAAUACUCCAUAGAAUUAUUUAGAGGCAUCUUUAGAUAUACAGCUGAGGUUUUAAGUGCUCGGUACCAUUGCUAAGUGAGUACGGUUUACAUGCACGAUGCUAAGGGUCGAGAGAAGGUUCCCCCACUGACUGAGAACCGUUCCAGACUCCUACGGAGGCAGCAGUGAGGAAUAUGGACAAUUGGAUGGAAAUCUGAUCCAGCCAUGCCGGCGUGGAGAAAAAGAGGUCCUAUGGAUGUAAACUUCUUUUGUACCGGGAGCAAUAAGGGUCAUGAUGCUGAUGAGAGUACGUACGAAUAAGCAUCGCUACUCGUGCCAGCAGCGCGGUAAUACGAGAUGCGAGCGUAUCCGGAUUAUGGGUUUAAAGGGUGCGUAGGCGGUACUGUAAGUCAGCGGUGAAAUUUAGGUGCUUAACACCUACCGUGCCGUUGAUACUGCAGAGCUGGAAUUAGGAUGCUGUUGGCGGAAUGUGUAGUGUAGCGGUGAAAUGCAUAGAUAUUACACAGAACACCGAUUGCGAAGGCAGCUGACAAAUCCUAAAUUGACGCUGAUGCACGAAAGUGUGGGGAUCAAACAGGAUUAGAUACCCUGGUAGUCCACACAGUAAACGAUGAUAACUCGCUGUCGGCGAUAUAAUGUCGGUAGUCAAGAGAAAUCGAUAAGUUAUCCACCUGGGGAGUACGACCGCAAGGUUGAAACUCAAAGGAAUUGACGGGGGCCCGCACAAGCGGAGGAACAUGUGGUUUAAUUCGAUGAUACGCGAGGAACCUUACCCGGGCUCGAACGGUGCCUGCAUAUGGAAGAGAUUUCAUAGCUAGCAAUAGCGGGUAUCGAGGUGCUGCAUGGUUGUCGUCAGCUCGUGCCGUGAGGUGUCGGCUUAAGUGCCAUAACGAGCGCAACCCUUAUCUUCAGUUACCAUCAGGUGAGGCUGGGGACUCUGGAGAUACUGCCACCGUAAGGUGAGAGGAAGGUGGGGAUGACGUCAAAUCAGCACGGCCCUUACGUCCGGGGCGACACACGUGUUACAAUGGUCGGUACAGAGGGGAGCUACACUGUGAAGUGAUGCGAAUCUCGAAAGCCGAUCUCAGUUCGGAUUGGAGUCUGCAACUCGACUCCAUGAAGUUGGAUUCGCUAGUAAUCGCGCAUCAGCCAUGGCGCGGUGAAUACGUUCCCGGGCCUUGCACACACCGCCCGUC
rnacentral:rRNA from 1 species